rnacentral:rRNA from 1 species
GAUGAACGCUGGCGGCGUGCCUAAUACAUGCAAGUCGAGCGAACAGAUGAGGAGCUUGCUCCUCUGACGUUAGCGGCGGACGGGUGAGUAACACGUGGAUAACCUACCUAUAAGACUGGGAUAACUUCGGGAAACCGGAGCUAAUACCGGAUAAUAUAUUGAACCGCAUGGUUCAAUAGUGAAAGACGGUUUUGCUGUCACUUAUAGAUGGAUCCGCGCCGCAUUAGCUAGUUGGUAAGGUAACGGCUUACCAAGGCAACGAUGCGUAGCCGACCUGAGAGCGUGAUCGGCCACACUGGAACUGAGACACGGUCCAGACUCCGACGGGAGGCAGCAGUAGGGAAUCUUCCGCAAUGGGCGAAAGCCUGACGGAGCAACGCCGCGUGAGUGAUGAAGGUCUUCGGAUCGUAAAACUCUGUUAUUAGGGAAGAACAAAUGUGUAAGUAACUAUGCACGUCUUGACGGUACCUAAUCAGAAAGCCACGGCUAACUACGUG